rnacentral:rRNA from 1 species
CGGGGUUGCGGACAGUGUCUGGUGGGUAGUUUGACUGGGGCGGUCUCCUCCCAAAGAGUAACGGAGGAGCACGAAGGUUAGCUAAUCCUGGUCGGACAUCAGGAGGUUAGUGCAAUGGCAUAAGCUAGCUUGACUGCGAGCGUGACGGCGCGAGCAGGUGCGAAAGCAGGUCAUAGUGAUCCGGUGGUUCUGAAUGGAAGGGCCAUCGCUCAACGGAUAAAAGGUACUCCGGGGAUAACAGGCUGAUACCGCCCAAGAGUUCAUAUCGACGGCGGUGUUUGGCACCUCGAUGUCGGCUCAUCACAUCCUGGGGCUGAAGUAGGUCCCAAGGGUAUGGCUGUUCGCCAUUUAAAGUGGUACGCGAGCUGGGUUUAGAACGUCGUGAGACAGUUCGGUCCCUAUCUGCCGUGGGCGCUGGAGAAUUGAGGGGGGCUGCUCCUAGUACGAGAGGACCGGAGUGGACGCAUCACUGGUGUUCGGGUUGUCAUGCCAAUGGCAUUGCCCGGUAGCUAAAUGCGGAAGAGAUAAGUGCUGAAAGCAUCUAAGCACGAAACUUGCCCCGAGAUGAGUUCUCCCUGAGACUUUAAGUCUCCUGAAGGAACGUUAAAGACGAUGACGUUGAUAGGUCGGGUGUGUAAGCGUAGCGAUACGUUGAGCUAACCGAUACUAAUGAACCGUGAGGCUUAACCUUACAACGCCGAAGGUGUUU